rnacentral:lncRNA from 1 species
UAUAUAUUUUUCAUUUGAUAUUUUGUUAUGCCCUUUCUGAAAUAUAGCCCAAAUAUUACAGUUAACUUUUUAGACAGCUUGUUAAUCACAAGUGCUACCAGCUGUUUCGAUUUUGCUUGAAUCAACACAAAGGAUAAAACAAACAUCGAAUUCUUGCAGAGGAAGGCUAGGUGUCUCUGAAUCGUGUUUAAAUAUGUAAAUGAGUGCUCUUCACUGUGUUAGUUCAGUACAUGUAAAUUGUAUACUAGUGGUGCCAUCGGAGAACGCAUUGGCUUUUGCCACCCAGAAGAACGUUUAUUAUUGUUGUGACGUCAUGGUGAAUUGUCGUAUAGAAAUUGACACUUUUAUGAUUUUACCUGGUUACACCCCCCUGGCUUUCAAUCAGACAGCAGGUCCUGUUAAUUCCUGGUUUGCUUAGCUCAGUGGAGAUAAAUUCAAGAGGCAGCAAUUGCCCAGAGCACCUGCCUUGUAAAGACUUCUCAUUGAGCUGCAUUGGGAAAUCUGUGAUUGGACAGUCACAAAAGGUCUGGGUGGAGUUAGAAGGGGAGGAGGCUUGCAAAGGCUGCAGACAAGACAUCUGCAGCUUUUGCAAGCUAUUUUUGGUUAUAUGCCUAUUAAAAAAAUGCAUAAUUAAAUGCAAGUAAGUUUUCAUUGGGAGUAUAUCUACUAAACAGUUUUAUUUUUAAAACAUUUUUAUUUGGGCAGUUGCUAAGUGCCUGCUGUAAUAAUUCUAGGUUGCAUGAGAGAGGGAAACCUAUGAUGAACACAACCUGUGUUACCACCUGAUUUUCCUCCAAAGAGCUACAAAUACACCCCUGAAUCAAAUACUGCAUGCACUCGCUCACUGAAAGUCCACACAAAGCUAGUGAUUCCUUUGGUAAAAUUCCACACAAACACUACCCUAUAUUUACAUACUCGAGACACUGUACACAUAUUAACCCUUGUAUUCACACACUUUGAUAUAUAGAAAAAAUACUCUUAGUUCACACACACAUAUUCUGACAGUUCACACACACAGUGACACAAUACGCAAACACUCCUGCACUUACACAAUCAUUGUAAUGCCACACAAAAACAGUCCUGCAUUCUAACAUGCAUACUGACACUUCAUAUACACCUGUAUUCACAUACACACUUACAUAUACUCCACGCAUAUACCACUUUAUUCCAAUACUCACACAUGCACUGUGCAUAAGAUUUUACACUUCGUUAUUAAGGCAUAAGUUUUGUUGCAAUUUGGUUGUCAUUUCAAUGUGAGAAACUGCUCAGUUAAUUAAUCCCACAGCCUUCCAUUGUAUUUAUCUGUAAGUGUUCUAAAAAAUCACUCUCACAUCAAAAAUGACAAUUCUAUCUAAAGAUACUCUCAAAAAAAAAAAAUACAUUUCUAACAGCUGACAUUCCCGAAAGCACACGAGAGAUUCUCCUAAACCAUUUAUUCUAUUGAAUUUGUAGUGAGUUAGUGGCACAAAAAUAUUUAUAUAUCGCUAGCUAUUUCUUUGACAAACCGUGAGAGAUCUGUCCCUAUUAUUAUUCUAAUAUUUUAAAAUUGACAGAAACAAAAUCAUCGUACCUGAAACUUAUACCCGCAUUUACUGUCGCAUAUUGGUAGAAAAGCUGGCAGAGGAGGAUAAUUUGUAGAACGAAUACACUUCGUUAAUUAAUGGGAAAAAAAA